rnacentral:rRNA from 1 species
UUAAACUGAAGAGUUUGAUCCUGGCUCAGAUUGAACGCUGGUGGCAUGCUUAACACAUGCAAGUCGAACGGUAACAGGUCUUAGGAUGCUGACGAGUGGCGGACGGGUGAGUAACGCGUAGGAAUCUGCCCAUUUGAGGGGGAUACCAGUUGGAAACGACUGUUAAUACCGCAUAAUAUCUGUGGAUUAAAGGUGGCUUUC